GUGCCAGCAGCCGCGGUAAUACGGAGGAUCCAAGCGUUAUCCGGAAUCAUUGGGUUUAAAGGGUCCGUAGGCGGGCCAUUAAGUCAGGGGUGAAAGUCUGCAGCUCAACUGUAGAAUUGCCCUUGAUACUGGUGGUCUUGAGUUAUAGUGAAGUAACUAGAAUAUGUGGUGUAGCGGUGAAAUGCAUAGAUAUCACAUAGAAUACCGAUUGCGAAGGCAGGUUACUAACUAUAUACUGACGCUGAUGGACGAAAGCGUGGGGAGCGAACAGGAUUAGAUACCCUGGUAGUCCACGCCGUAAACGAUGGAUACUAGCUGUCCGGCAGCAAUGCUGGGUGGCCAAGCGAAAGUGAUAAGUAUCCCACCUGGGGAGUACGUCCGCAAGGAUGAAACUCAAAGGAAUUGACGG
rnacentral:rRNA from 1 species